rnacentral:rRNA from 1 species
UACGUAGGGUGCGAGCGUUAAUCGGAAUUACUGGGCGUAAAGCGUGCGCAGGCGGUUCGUUGUGUCGGUGGUGAAAUCCCCGGGCUUAACCUGGGAAUGGCCAUGGAAACUGGCGAACUGGAGUGCGGCAGAGGGGGGUGGAAUUCCGCGUGUAGCAGUGAAAUGCGUGGAGAUGCGGAGGAACACCGAUGGCGAAGGCAGCCCCCUGGGCUAGCACUGACGCUCAGGCACGAAAGCGUGGGGAGCAAACAGG